GCCUAACACAUGCAAGUCGAACGGACGUGCUUCGGCACUUAGUGGCGGACGGGUGAGUAACGCGUGAGAAUUUGGCUUCAGGUCGGGGACAACAGUUGGAAACGACUGCUAAUACCGGAUGUGCCGGAAGGUGAAAGAUUUAUCGCCUGAAGAGAAGCUCGCGUCUGAUUAGCUAGUUGGUAGUGUAAGGGACUACCAAGGCGACGAUCAGUAGCUGGUCUGAGAGGAUGAUCAGCCACACUGGGACUGAGACACGGCCCAGACUCCUACGGGAGGCAGCAGUGGGGAAUUUUCCGCAAUGGGCGAAAGCCUGACGGAGCAAUACCGCGUGAGGGAGGAAGGCUCUUGGGUCGUAAACCUCUUUUCUCAAGGAAGAAAAAAAUGACGGUACUUGAGGAAUAAGCAUCGGCUAACUCCGUGCCAGCAGCCGCGGUAAUACGGAGGAUGCAAGCGUUAUCCGGAAUGAUUGGGCGUAAAGGGUCCGCAGGUGGUACUGUAAGUCUGCUGUUAAAGAGUCACGCUCAACGUGAUAAGAGCAGUGGAAACUACAGAACUAGAGUGCGUUCGGGGCAGAAGGAAUUCCUGGUGUAGCGGUGAAAUGCGUAGAUAUCAGGAAGAACACCGGUGGCGAAAGCGUUCUGCUAGGCCGCAACUGACACUGAGGGACGAAAGCUAGGGGAGCGAAUGGGAUUAGAUACCCCAGUAGUCCUAGCCGUAAACGAUGGAUACUAGGUGUGGCUUGUAUCGACCCGAGCCGUACCGUAGCUAACGCGUUAAGUAUCCCGCCUGGGGAGUACGCACGCAAGUGUGAAACUCAAAGGAAUUGACGGGGGCCCGCACAAGCGGUGGAGUAUGUGGUUUAUUCGAUGCAACGCGAAGAACCUUACCAGACUU
rnacentral:rRNA from 1 species